CGUGGAUCUUUGGAUGAGAGGCAUGGCAUGCAGAAGAGAAGCGUGGAGUGCAGUCUAAAUGGCACUGAGGGUGUGUCAGGAAACAAACUUGCUGCAAAUCUCUGACCUCAUGAAGCUCACACUCUAGUGGGGAAUGUAACAAACAAGUAAAUUACGUUUUGUGUUUCGGAUCUAUGCUCAGUGGAGAAAAUGAAAACAGGGAAGGAUAAAUGGAAUUGUGGGAGCCCACGGAAGUUUUAAAUGGAGUAGCCAGGGAGGGCAUUGAUGAAAGGGAACUAUUCAAGCAAAGACCUGAAGAAGAAACAUUCUUAUUAUGGACUCUACAAAAGCAGUGCAAGGCACCUGACCCUUGGGCUGUCAUUUGCUGAUCCCUGAUCUAGAGUCACAGAG